rnacentral:lncRNA from 1 species
AAAGCAGAAACAUUACCUUAAUGUCUUUAGUCAUUUAGCUAUUUAGACAAAUAUGUCCCCCAAGAAACAUUACCUUAAUGUCUUUAGUCAUUUAGCUAUUUAGACAAAUAUGUCCCCCAUGCAUGCACCAUACCUAUUUCUUUUGAUUAAACAAAUCAAAAGCCCUCACCUCUUAUCCUCUUAGGCACUCUCGGCAUGAAGAUGAAAAAAAGAAAGACGAUAGUUUAAAUUUUAUAAACUCUAGGUUUAUAAAAUACUAUAAACUUUAUCUAUAGGUAAAUAUUUUCCAUGAAAUAAAUAUUUUCCUAAAUUAUUAUAAGAGUUUAUGAAUAUUUAUUAAAAUC